ensembl:lncRNA
AUUAGUUUGUGUGGUUAAAAGUGGUAUUGCACUUCCUCAACUGAAUGAAUUUGCUUAAGACUACUAAAAGAGGAAGACGUGCCAUCAAAUCGGCAGUCAUGGGACGUAUUUCCCCCAUGGAGGUCUUCAGCUUCAGUGCACACAGGAUGAGUCAUCGCCUGAUGCUGAUUUGUAGAUGGUACUCCAUGUGACCCUCGGAUCAUCUCGGGGUAUUCUGCACGCUGUUUGCAAAUGUGCACCGCUUUGAUUUCUCUGACCCAACAAGGAGCACUGGGAUUGGUGUGCGCUGCUGGAAUGCUAAUAUGUUCCUGGAAAGGGAGACGCUGUCAGCCUGUUGGCAGACAAGAGGAGAUCAAGCUGACGAGUCACAGUGAUACACUUAGGGGCCCUAUUCAUGUCUGCCCCCGCGACACACACUGGGCCCAUUGUGGCGAGGAAUGUCUCCUUUCAGGGCCUGAAGCUGCCUGUGAAAGCACGUCAAUAAUCCCGAGUCAGUGGGUGCUUCACAAUGCUGCUGAGACCAUCCCACCGACCAGACCACUGUGGAGAUGGGCCCCAGCUCUGCUCCGCUCCGUGGAAAAGUGACCGGGACGGUUGAAAGAGGGGGCGGCUGAAUGGAUGAAGUAAUUAAUCUGGUGCAUGCUGAUAAAUAAACAGCUCCACAAAGGUGAGACCACUUUCCCAAGAAGAAAGGAGCUAAUCAGUAUUGAAGCUGUGUGCGAUCUCUCUUCAUUUAUAACUCCACAUACCACACCGAAUAUCUGGAGAGCUGCUUUAUUGCUUUGCACAGCUCCCUGUUGUUUUCACACUGCAGGCCUCCAAAAGGCGAGUGAACACGGCUUGUCCUCUCAGGAAGUAUCAAGCUUCUGGUGUACAGCCGAGGCAGAAACCAGCAUCGGCCCGC